AGCGAACGUUUGCGGCGGGCCUAACACAUGCAAGUCGAACGCACUAGCAAUAGUGAGUGGCGCACGGGUGCGUAACACGUGGGUAAUCAACCCUUCAGCUUGGGAUAACGACUUGAAAGGGUCGCUAAUACCGGAUACGGCGCGGGAGGCUUCGGCUUCUCACGAGAAAGCCUCGCAAGGGGCACUGAAGGACGAGCCUGCGGCCCAUCAGCUAGUUGGUGAGGUAAGAGCUCACCAAGGCGAAGACGGGUAGCUGGUCUGAGAGGAUGAUCAGCCACACUGGAACUGAGACACGGUUCAGACUCCUACGGGAGGCAGCAGUGGGGAAUAUUGGACAAUGGCGAAAGCCUGAUCCAGCCAGCCGCGUGGGUGAUGAAGGCCU
rnacentral:rRNA from 1 species